UGGGGGGACUGAAAGUUUCCCCCUUCUUCUAAUUUUAAACCCCUCUGGCCGGCUGGGAGUGUCUGUGGUUACAUGGUGUAGCAUCGUCUGCUGCCGCUGCUGUGUGGUUGGGGCCAACACAGGAACACAGGUUGACUGCGAUGACCAAGCAUGGUUGCUGGCCUCACCCGGGGACCUCCCUGACACUGCCCCGCAAGUUAAUUGGCUCCUUCAUGCCCAGCACGUACUUAUUUCUAGAUUUCUUCACUCUGCUGACACAUCCGCCCUGUGCUCCACCCUUGUGUGCCACUGAGAGAAAGACAGAAGAUAGGAGCCCACGGACAGGAACUUCUCCAGCUGGGAGGAGAGUCAAUCUGUCACAAUCUGUAUUUUUCCUGGGCUCCCAGAGGUCCCUGAGGCAGCUGGUUAUAAGCUCUGUGGCCCUGGGUAAUUCUGUGGCUUCCCUGAGCCUCAGUGUCCUGAUCUGUCAAUGGGGAGAAUGACACAGAAAAGCACCCAGUGGGAUAACUGGGUCUCCACAGAUGCUCCCUGAGGAUUAAUUCUCACAUUUGCCCCCUGCCCCCCACAGCUGGCUUUUGUUUUUCACUCUCCCAGUCUCAGGCUCCAUGGCGAACUGGGGAUCGGUCUGCCACUGGUGUUGAUUGUGAAAAAAACCCAGGAGGGAUCUCCUUGGGAGAGCGGUUCAGCCAUGGUAAGGAGCCUGAGGCUGGAACAGCGGCUCAACAUGUGCUCUGUGCCACGCUCCUUCCUUACGUUUGGCCCCACUCACUCCUCACCGCAGCCCCGUGAGCUAGCUUUGGAGAGAUGCAGCGGGACCCCAAUCCCAGCUCCGCUACACACUAGCUGUGGGCCCACGGACAAGCUGCCUUUAGUUCUCUGGGUCUCAGUUUCUUCAUCUGAGCACGAGGAUGAUAAUAUCCAUCUCUCAGGGUUGCUGUGAGAAUUGCUGACCACGGACAUCAAAUGCCUGACACCGA